AAUACAGAAUGAUUAACAAAACGAAUCGGCAUCACUUUUUCUUCAACGAUGAACUGUCAUCUCACACCAAAACAACCGGAUCAUAUAACUGGUGAGUAUGGAAUCUUUUUCUGUUUUUCAUUUUAUAUUUUUUUUUAGUUUGGAGUUUGUGGAAUAGAUAGGUUUUUACUUUAUGAAUCUGGAACGAACGGAUUGCUACCGGCGGCAUUCCUGAACGCAAUUGGGUCCAACACGGAAGCUAAACUAGUUCAUAUGCAUCCGGACAACGUUGCCCAGAAGCAGGCACAACAAGCAAUGAAUUUCGAUACGGAACAACUGAGCAGAUGCAUAUCAGUGAAAGUUUAUUCCGUUCUGAGACAUUUCUACCAACGAAGUAAGGACACGAACGGUAUUGAAUUGAAUGAUGCUAAGCCAGAUCAACAGUGUGGGGAGACUGACGGUGUAGAUUCGCAUCCAACUUUAGUGAUUUUUCACCAGUGAGAAAUUCACAAGUGUUUACAUAUGCUGAAUUUAUUCAAGUUAUGUAUACCUCGAAUAAGUGUAUCAUAUUUAUUCUCACCCGUUUACACCUAUAUUCACGUGAAUAAAUCCAUCUAUAGCUAUAGAUCUCCCUAAUGUAAACCCGCCAUUACUCUUACCUAAACUUGUAAACAAAGCUCAAUUCGCGUUGACGGCAUUGGGCUUCAUUUACCAGUUUAGGGGAGCGUCAAAGAUAAUGAUUGAUUUUCAGGAUAAAACUACAGCGGCCUUACGUUUUUUUUCACUGGGUUUGUAUCGAUUAAUCGACGUAAAUUAUUCGUUCGCUUCGAUUAUUGGUUGCGCAGUAUUCGUUCGAUUAAUAAUCGAUUUCUGUAGGAAGUAUUCGAUUAAUCGAUUAAUCGAACGAUUAUCGGGGAUCACUAUUUGCGACCCGGACAUCCCACAAUCCAAUUGACAAAAAAAUCAUCGAAACUUCGUUGGUCGAAAAUACAGAAUGAUUAACAAAACGAAUCGGCAUCACUUUUUCUUCAACGAUGAACUGUCAUCUCACACCAAAACAACCGGAUCAUAUAACUGGUGAGUAUGGAAUCUUUUUCUGUUUUUCAUUUUAUAUUUUUUUUUAGUUUGGAGUUUGUGGAAUAGAUAGGUUUUUACUUUAUGAAUCUGGAACGAACGGAUUGCUACCGGCGGCAUUCCUGAACGCAAUUGGGUCCAACACGGAAGCUAAACUAGUUCAUAUGCAUCCGGACAACGUUGCCCAGAAGCAGGCACAACAAGCAAUGAAUUUCGAUACGGAACAACUGAGCAGAUGCAUAUCAGUGAAAGUUUAUUCCGUUCUGAGACAUUUCUACCAACGAAGUAAGGACACGAACGGUAUUGAAUUGAAUGAUGCUAAGCCAGAUCAACAGUGUGGGGAGACUGACGGUGUAGAUUCGCCACAGGUGGAAAUUAAUCACAAACGCAAGAUGUGACAUUAUCAGAUUCUCCCAAAGUGGUUUCUUACCAGCUAUGAAUACACCCGUUCGGAUGAUGUGGCUUUUUUGCUUCCAUCAACUGCAGUCAACAGCAUCGGCUUUCCCGUAGCAGUAUCCUCCAAGCCAUGGUGGCUGUUCCAGGGGACAACAUCAACAGCAGCAGCAUCUGGACCUGACCAUCGAUAGUGUUUCGAGCAACUUUCCAUAUCGGAGAUCUCGUGCUUCGCGCACAUUGAAGAAACCUCCUCAGCCACAUAUGUGUGUCAAGGAGAAAAAGGAGCUGGAUUCGAAUCGUCAAUCCAGACAACCCGAAUGCACCGAUUGCAUUAUAUAUCUUGUUUAUAUUUUAUAUGCAUUUUGUGUUU